CAACCCUCCUCACCAAUUUAGCCCGAGCUUUCGAAACCUUUUGUUGUGAAAGCUUUCUUGCAAUCCUUUGUGCACCUCUCCCAAGCUCAUAUCCUGCAAACUAAAUGGCAGUCUACAUUGCUUGGUCGCAAGCAAUAUAGACUACCCUUCAAGCGAAGAAUAAGCUCGGAUACAUUGAAGGUAAAGUGUCAUGAUUAGCGGAGGGAGAACCCUUUUAUGAGUAAUGGGAGACUUGCAAUUCGAUGCUUGUUUCAUGGAUCUUUAAUCAUCGCAACAAGGCUGCAAAGCACGGUGGCCGGAGCGAAGAUUGCCCAAGUUCUUUGGGGUGAUCUUAAGGAGCGCUUCCCCUAAGGUAAUGAAACAAGAAUUCACCAAUUGUGAAGGGAUAUCUAUCUAUUAAGGCAAGAGAAUCGGCCGGUCACUGAUUAUUAUUCUGAGCUAAAGAAAUUAUGGCAUGAAUUAGACAUGUUUUUCGAGUUGCCUGCUUGUACUUGUAAUGCUGGUGUUUAGAUUGCCGUCCAAAAGGAAAAGGAGAAGGUUUAUGAGCUCUCUUAUAAUGUUUGGUCAAACUGGACAUUCUUAUUGAGGCAGACAUGUUAGGCUCUCGGUCGGCUUACUUUCCCAUGUAGCAACAACACCAACUCUCUCAGGACAGUGGAGAUCCAAUUCCAGAUCCAGGCCAGUGACGUCGUCUUAUUGGUCAUCUACUAUAUCUCAUUAUCACUAGACCGGAACUUAGCUAUUCUAUCUACAUUCUCUCACAGUUCUUGCAAGAUCCUCGACAAGGUCAUUGGGAUGUAGUAAUGCAAGUUCUUCGUUAUCUCAAGUAGUCCCCAGGACAAGGAAUCCUUCUAAGACCUGAUCCACCCUCUCUUAUUGCCUAUUGUGAUGCUGUUUGGGCCAGUUGCCUGAUGACUCGGCGGUCCUUAACUGGUUACUUUGUCACUUUGGGCGGUAGUCCUAUCUCUUGGAAGACCAAGAGGCAGACGACAAUUUCCAAGUCUUCUAUUGAUGAAGAAUUUCGUGCAAUGGUAGCUACUGUUAGUGAACUACUAUGGCUACAAAGCCUCCUUCGUUCUCUCGAUAUUUCUCAUCCUGGUCCAAUGCAUCUUUUCUGCAACAAUCAGGCGGCUCUCCAUAUCGCGUCCAACCCAGUUUUUCCCGAGCGCACCAAACACAUUAAAAUAGACUGUCACUUUAUCCGACAGUACUUGUGCUCAGGAGCUAUUACCACGUCUCAUGUGUCCACGCACUUUCAGCUAGCUAAUAGCACUUGGUCGUGAUUGAUUCUAUUUUUCCUCAGCAAGUUGGGAAUUAGGAAUUCUCAUUAUCCAACUUGAGGGGAAGUAUUAUAGAAGGAUUUUCUUUCUAUCGUUUAUUAUGUACAUACCAUACAUAGUCUAGCUAGCUGUAUUAUUGUCAUAGAUUUUGGUUUCCUAUCUUAGGCAGCCUUGCCUUAUUUUUCCUUAGACACGAUGUAUACAUACGAGACCAGUUGAUCGAUACCAUCACGCUUUUGCCCUAAUUCAAGUUUUGAUAAGUACCCAUCCAUCA